UUCUGGGCCCGGAGCGGAAAUGGUGGGGGCGGUGUCAGGGUAGAAGGACUCCGCCUGAGAAACCCGACUCGAGACCUUCAGGGGCGGUUUGUCCAUACGAAGGGUCAUUUCGCUGUGGCUCCCAAAUUUUGCUUCCGAGGCUGGCCUGGCUGAGGGCUCAGCGCGCCCGGCCCCACCCUCCAGGUGAACCUAGGAACUGAUGACGGGGCCCCAGCGCGCGAGGGACUAGGUUCACGCCGUCCUCUCAGGCCCUCGCGGCUGGGCGGCCCGGGUUAUCCCGAGUAUUCUGGGCACCCCACACCACGCGUCUCUGAGUCUCUUCUUCCCCUUCGCGUGCCGACGGCGACGCGAGGGCCUUAGUCCCUGGUAAGUGACGCCACCUCUGGUUCGUAAGACUCAGAGUCUCAGGCCACCCGGGCUUAGCUCUGUUUUCCCCGAAAAACACUGAGUCUCCGGUCCUUGGAAACGGUGACCCUCCUUACAGUUCUGUGCGUGAGAGCCCUGGCCGCUGAAUGUCAGCCCUCUGAAGGCAGCGGCUGUGUCUUGGUCUUUGUGACCUAUUCAAUAGCGGAGCAGGGAUUUGUGUUAGGUCAGCACCUCGUAAACGUUUGCUGAGUUGAACUGUUAGGUGAAAGAACUGCUGUAGGACCACUAACUCAGCAUCUUUAAAAAACUGUUCUAGAACCCCCCAACCGGAGUCUCAUUCUUUUUCCUGCGAAACACCCGAUGCUGCCUGAGGCUUGGACCCAACCUGAGGGACCACAUCUGAGAAAACCCUGCCUGUGUCUGCAGUAUCCGCUUGAAUUCCUCAGGUUGUUCAGGAAUGGAGAAUCUCCAGCAGUGUUAAAUAUAUUACCAUCAACUUAGGAGAUGGCUGCUUUGCAAAGGAAAGGGCUUCAGGCAAGGAUUCUCAGCUCUGAAGAAGAGGAGAAACUGACAAGAGACCAAGCUUUAGUGUCUGAUUAUAAACAGCAAAAACUGGAAAAAGAGGCUCAGAAGAACUGGGACCUUUUUUACAAAAGAAAUAGCACUAAUUUCUUCAAAGAUAGACACUGGACCACCAGAGAGUUUGAGGAGCUCAGAUCAUGUAGAGAGUUUGAAGAUCAAAAAUUGACUAUGCUUGAAGCUGGUUGUGGGGUUGGGAACUGUUUAUUCCCGCUUUUAGAAGAUCCAAAUAUCUUUGCCUAUGCCUGUGAUUUUUCUCCAAGAGCAGUUGAAUAUGUCAAGCAAAAUCCUUUAUAUGACACAGAACGAUGCAAGGUAUUCCAGUGUGAUCUGACUAAAGAUGACCUUCUGGAACACGUGCCCCCGGAGUCUGUGGAUGUUGUCAUGUUGAUAUUUGUGCUCUCUGCGGUUCACCCUGAUAAAAUGCACCUUGUCUUACAAAACAUUUACAAGGUAUUAAAACCAGGCAAAAGUGUCUUGUUUCGCGACUAUGGGCUGUAUGAUCAUGCCAUGCUUAGGUUUAAAGCCGGCAGCAAACUUGCAGAAAACUUUUAUGUUAGACAAGAUGGAACCAGAUCGUAUUUUUUCACUGAUGGUAAGAUUGCUGGAAUCUGUCUUGACUGCUGUUUCCUUGAUUGCAUUGUCACUGUGGUACCAGUUGGAGUGGGGGUGACUGUACCCCCCUUACAAGCACAAGGUCCCAGAACAAGCCCGCUCACGUGCACCACUUACCAGCCCUGGCUGUGAGCUCACGGGCCGCCUCUGGUGACCGUGUCCAGUUAGUGAGCCGGAUCAGUGGACAGGCUCUGAUGCGCCGCCAUGUGGAUGACGCCAGGAGCUGCGCUGGAAAGAGGGGAGAGCAAACCAGAAUCUUCACUUCGUUCACUCAGGCAUAAAGCAAAUAGGACAGGGUAGUGCCUUGAGAUUACUUGAGUCUCACAAAGAUUUCCUGGCACGGCUCUUUAUGGACACAGGUUACGAAGAAGAGGUGAACGAGUAUGUGUUUCGUGAGACGGUGAAUAAAAAAGAAGGCCUGUGUGUACCGAGGGUUUUCC